ACACAGGGGAAAACAACGUUAGCUAAUAGUUAGGACUACAAAACGACCGGUUAUAUUGUCAGGGUACAUUUAGAAUGAUGUAACUAGAGCUAACUAACAGUUACAUAACAUAGUAUCCAUUCACUGCUUUGUCGCAUCCCUCUUCCUCAACUUUUUAAUUACGCUGAGAGACGACACAUUGUUGCGCGUUGUGAUUUCGGUGUCCUGUAUAUUCCAUGCCAGACUGAGAGGGGGUCAUUGAUAUGUCGGUUCAAGUCCAGCGGCAGUUUAGCUGCUAUAAUCCCAUUUUUUUCGCCAUUCAUGUUUAUCACUUAAAAGUCCCGUAGAAUGACUUUCAGCUCCAUUUUGGUUGUAUUCACAAACUCAAUAUAUCCCUUGUUCGGCGCACCAGUCAGUGAAGCGGUUCAGAUGAGGACAUGGAGUCAUCCUCCAGUGAAGAUGAGAGGACGAUCGGGACAGACCGGACAUCCUGGUACCUGGUCACAUCCAGCUGUGACCUGUCAAUCAAGGCAGGAACACGAUGGAGGAAAUGGAGGAGGUCAAAAGCUCCAGCUGAAAUGGAGGAGGUCAAAAGCUCCAGCUGAAAUGGAGGAAGUCAAAAGCUCCAGCUGAAAUGGAGGAAGUCAAAAGCUCCAGCUGAAAUGGAGGAAGUCAAAAGCUCCAGCUGAAAUGGAGGAAGUCAAAAGCUCCAGCUGAAAUGGAGGAAGUCAAAAGCUCCAGCUGAAAUGGAGGAGGUCAAAAGCUCCAGCUGAAAUGGAGGAGGUCAAAAGCUCCAGCUGAAAUGGAGGAAGUCAAAAGCUCCAGCUGAAAUGGAGGAAGUCAAAAGCUCCAGCUGAAAUGGAGGAAGUCAAAAGCUCCAGCUGAAAUGUCAUUAUCAGUUGUCCGACGAGAGAUGGAAAUACGAGUGUACAUAGUGUGAUUAUAGAUCAGAGGGCAUAAGUCUCAGAGGGGUAAACCUAAUCAUCAACUGUGAAUAUUAAUCAUAUUUUAUUUCUUCUUUGUGCUUUAUUUUUUUGUUUAUUUAUAAGUUAUUUCCAAGUGUAUAUAAUGUUGAACAGCAUGGAGUUCAUGUUCAAAGGGUGGAACUGAUGAGUUCUAAACUUGAAAUAUCCUUAUUCAUGUUACUGAGGGAGGGAGGGGAUUGUAGAAUGUUUACGUUCCGUCAGAACAUGUUAUUGUUAGACAUCAGGUAUCCUAUGGAAAGGAGAAGGGUCACAGUCUGGUACAAGGACAGCCGUGAGUUGGGGAGGAGUGGGGAAUUUGGGCAGAAGUCAGGUUAGAUGAAGUGAGAAAGAACAGGCAUCACUAAAGUUCUGUCUAGCAACAGAGAUAUAGUGGCUAUCCCGAUGUGUAAGGAGGAGACUCCUUAGGAGGUAGGUUUAAACUCCAGUGCUUGUGUAAAUAUGUUUUUGUCUUACGCAACUGUGUGACCCAGUGGGUGAAUAAACUUGGUUUGAGUUUUUAAUCUGUUUAAUGAAGACAUAAAAACGAUGCAAUAACUCAUAUAGAAUCAUGUAGUAAAAAAAGUAAAGCCUCUGAAUUGGCAGUGAGUGAUCAAUAGUAUGGAAAGCCUUUGACAGGUCAAUGAAGAAGGCAGCAGAAUGUUUUAUCCAUAAAGUUAACCACAUCCCUAAUUGUAAUUAGGGAUGAGGCAGAGCUAGUGCUAUGGCCUGGUCAAACUCGACUGAUGUACAUUUAGAAAAAAAUUCACAGAUAAGAAAGAUCUUAGUUGAGAAUUAAUCAAAAAUUCUAAUAUUUUAGCUAGGAAAGAAAGUUUAUAAAAUAGGCCAAUAAUUAUUUAGGUCACAAGGGUCACCACCUUUGUGAAGGGGGAGUACAUUGGCCGCUUUCCAAACUUGGGGAUAGUACCAAUUAAUGAUGCCUGAGCCUGUUAUAUUUGAUAUUGUAUAGGCUUAGGCCUAUUUAUUUUCUUGAUUGUUGUAUUUGUCAUUGUCAUGUAUUUAUUUUCUGUCUCUAGACAAUACAGACUGGUCUCUUAUUGGA